CGAGGAAUCUUGCGCAAUGGGCGAAAGCCUGACGCAGCAACGCCGCGUGGGCGAUGAAGGCCCUCGGGUCGUAAAGCCCUUUUGCGGGGGACGAAAUCCUGACGGUACCCCGCGAAAAAGCCACGGCUAACUACGUGCCAGCAGCCGCGGUAAUACGUAGGUGGCAAGCGUUGUCCGGAUUUAUUGGGCGUAAAGAGCGCGUAGGCGGUCCGUCAAGUCCGAGGUGAAACCUCCCGGCCCAACUGGGAGAAGCCCUUGGAUACUGGCAGACUAGAGGGAAGCAGAGGAGAGUGGAAUUCCCGGUGUAGUGGUGGAAUGCGUAGAUAUCGGGAGGAACACCAGUGGCGAAGGCGGCUCUCUGGGCUUCCCCUGACGCUGAGGCGCGAAAGCGUGGGGAGCAAACCGGAUUAGAUACCCGGGUAGUCCACGCCGUAAACGUUGGACACUAGGUGUAGGGGGUAUCGACCCCCUCUGUGCCGAAGCUAACGCGUUAAGUGUCCCGCCUGGGGAGUACGGCCGCAAGGCUA
rnacentral:rRNA from 1 species